UCGCUCUUCUGAGAAGGACGCAAGAAGGAACAUCCAGGCCAGAUCAUGGGAGGGACCCGGAUGCCUAAACUCACAGAGGACGCAGCCCCACCUGCCUCGUAAUUAAAGAAUUGCAACAUCCACUGUAAUUUUCCAUCACCCCCAUAAAGUGGAGAGAAGAAUCAUAUCUCCAGCACUUACCACCUGAAGGCUUGAGUGACCCAGACGACACCAGCCCACUCCCCAAAGGACCCGUUUCCAUAGCCCCUGCCAGCGCCAGCAGGAUGGCCCCGGGGACCUGCCCACCCGUGGAGCACAGAGCUGCUCACUAAAGAAGCCAUCUGCACUGACGCGCUGCUCAGUAGCCCCUCUCUCCCUCUGAACUCUUUUGCCACCUCAUCUAUCACAUGCCCACUGAGAUCGGCCUGGACUGCGUCUUUCAGCAUGGAGAAGCUUGACAUUUGGGAAUAACUGACAAAAAACAACGAUGUCAAAAUGUCUCUAUCACACUGCCUUGCUCUGACUUUAAAGAAGAAAACACAAUAUUGAAAGAGUGGGAAAAAAAUACUAGAUCCUUCAACACGCCUACUUUCAAACACUGGAGUUUCAAGUUUUCCAGAUUAAAUUAAUUAAAAUGAUUUUCACACAUAAUGUGAAAAAAAACAUUUCUCUGCAAAUAUCAUACAGUUUGUACUGUUUCUUUCGGAAGACUUGCAGAGAACUUGGCGAGGAGACAGCGACCGGCCCAUGUUUCAGAUGCCUUUGUUCCCUCCUGUGGCUUCCUAAGCUCUUGCCAGCAGCAAGGAAGCUGGCUUGUCAGUGGGUGAAGACUUCAGUACCUGUAGGUGGAUGAGGGAAGGCUGUGUACUUAGAGAAGAAAGCAGAAGAAAGUAACACACUUUGCCAUUUCUGUAACCUUUCCUGUGAGUCUGCUUUUCAAGCACGGACUAUGCCUCUUUGAUCAAGACACACCUAUUUCACCUUCUCUUUGUAAUAGUUAGCACUGGUCCAAAUGCUAAAGAUCCCUGUCAGCUUAGUGUGAACCAGGAAGCCAGAGAAUAGAUGUAAGUCCUCAAAAGCUGAUUUUGUUUUAUUUUGAUGCUGAAGAAGAGCAGGUGACUCAAAACCAGGACUGUCACUUUGUGUCCCCAGACUUAGUCUCUAACUCACCCUAGUUCACAUCUAAAGAUAUAACUGUUGCCUGAUCCAUGACCUUGGGGGAUCCUCAAGCCAGAUGACUGCAGAGGAGAGCAGAAGACAGGAAGGUCAAGGGCAGCAGGAGGGAAGCCCAGGCGGGAGGCUCCCUGUCAAUGGGCCACUAUGGAAGGGGAACUGGUGGCCCAGAUUGGCCCCCCGCUCUACCCAUGAGGAUUCCCACAGCAGCUUCCUACUGCCUUGAGCUCUCUUUAGUUGUAGUGCUGUGU